rnacentral:rRNA from 1 species
GACGAACGCUGGCGGCGUGCUUAACACAUGCAAGUCGAACGGAAAGGCCUGCUUUCCCUUGUGGAUUGCGGGUACUCGAGUGGCGAACGGGUGAGUAACACGUGAGUGAUCUGCCCCCAACUUGGGUAUAAGCCUGGGAAACUGGGUCUAAUUCCCGAUAGGACUGCAGGGUGGUGCCUGUGGUGGAAAACGAUUUUCUAGUGGUUGGGGAUGAGCUCGCGGCCUAUCAGCUUGUUGGUGGGGUAAUGGCCUACCAAGGCGGCGACGGGUAGCCGGCCUGAGAGGGUGGACGGCCACAUUGGGACUGAGAUACGGCCCAGACUCCUACGGGAGGCAGCAGUGGGGAAUAUUGCACAAUGGGCGGAAGCCUGAUGCAGCGACGCCGCGUGGGGGAUGUCGGCCUUCGGGUUGUAAACUCCUUUCGACCGCGAGGAAGCCACCUGGUUGGAAGGGUGGUGACGGUAGCGGUAGAAGAAGCACCGGCUAACUACGUG